rnacentral:piRNA from 1 species
CAGGCUCAUAGGUAGAAGGGACUUGCCUUG